CCUACGGGUGGCUGCAGUGAGGAAUAUUGGUCAAUGGACGAGAGUCUGAACCAGCCAAGUAGCGUGCAGGAUGACUGCCCUAUGGGUUGUAAACUUCUUUUAUAUGGGAGUAAAAUGUUCCACGUGUGGGAGUUUGUAUGUACCAUAUGAAUAAGGAUCGGCUAACUCCGUGCCAGCAGCCGCGGUAAUACGGAGGAUCCGAGCGUUAUCCGGAUUUAUUGGGUUUAAAGGGAGCGUAGGUGGAUUGUUAAGUCAGGUGUGAAAGUUUGCGGCUCAACCGUAAAAUUGCAUUUGAAACUGGCAGGCUUGAGUACAGUAGAGGUGGGCGGAAUGCGUGGUGUAGCGGUGAAAUGCUUAGAGAUCACGAAGAACUCCGAUUGCGAAGGCAGCUCACUGGACUGCAACUGACACUGAGGCUCGAAAGUGUGGGUAGCAAACAGGAUUAGAUACCCCAGUAGUC
rnacentral:rRNA from 1 species